rnacentral:rRNA from 1 species
CCUACGGGAGGCAGCAGUGGGGAAUAUUGCACAAUGGGGGAAACCCUGAUGCAGCAACGCCGCGUGAAGGAAGACGGUUUUCGGAUUGUAAACUUCUAUCAAUAGGGAAGAAAGAAAAGACGGUAGCUAAAUAAGAAGCCCCUGCUAACUACGUGCCAGCAGCCGCGGUAAGACGUAGGGGGCAAGCGUUAUCCGGAAUUACUGGUUGUAAAGGGAGAGUAGGCAGCAAGGUAAGCGAUAAGUGAAAGCCUUAAGCUUAACUUAAGGAUGGCAUAACAAACUAUCUAGCUAGAGUACAGGAGAGGAAAGCGGAAUUCCUAGUGUAGCGGUGAAAAGCGUAGAUAUUAGGAAGAACACCAGUGGCGAAGGCGGCUUUCUGGACUGAAACUGACGCUGAGGCUCGAAAGCGUGGGGAGCGAACAGGAUUAGAUACCCUAGUAGUC